rnacentral:piRNA from 1 species
UGGCCUUGACCACAUGACCCAGAGGUGCAGU